GUAAUUCCGGUGAAGAUGCCGGAUACCUGCGACAGGACGGAAAGACCCCAUGGAGCUUUACUGUAGCUUGACAUUGGGUCUUGGUACUACAUGUACAGGAUAGGUGGGAGGCUUUGAAACCAGGACGACAGUUUUGGCGGAGCCAUCCUUGGGAUACCACCCUUGUAGUACUGGGACUCUAACCAUAGGCCAUGAAUCUGGUCUUGGGACACUGUCAGGUGGGCAG
rnacentral:rRNA from 1 species